rnacentral:rRNA from 1 species
UGCCAGACUCCUACGGGAGGCAGCAGUGAGGAAUAUUGGUCAAUGGGCGGGAGCCUGAACCAGCCAUGCCGCGUGAAGGCGGGUGCCCUACGGGCGUUAAACUUCUUUUGUGCGGGAGCAAUAAGGGCCACGCGUGGCCCGAUGAGAGUACCGCACGAAUAAGCAUCGGCUAACUACGUGCCAGCAGCCGCGGUAAUACGUAGGGGGCAAGCGUUAUCCGGAUUCACUGGGUGUAAAGGGAGCGUAGACGGCGACGCAAGUCUGGAGUGAAAGCCCGGGGCCCAACCCCGGGACUGCUCUGGAAACUGCGUCGCUGGAGUACGGGAGGGGCAGGCGGAAUUCCUGGUGUAGCGGUGAAAUGCGUAGAUAUCAGGAGGAACACCGGCGGCGAAGGCGGCCUGCUGGACCGUGACUGACGUUGAGGCUCGAGAGCGUGGGGAGCAAACAGGAUUAGAUACCCUCGUAUAG